GUGAUAUGCUUGUCUCAAAGAUUAAGCCAUGCAAGUCUAAGUACGAGCUCUCGUACAGCGAAACUGCGAAUGGCUCAUUAAAUCAGUUAUGGUUCAUUUGAUCGUAUGGUUUACUUGGAUAACUGUGGUAAUUCUAGAGCUAAUACAUGCAAACAGCGCCGACUUCGCGGGAGGCGUGCUUUUAUCAGACCAAAAACCGACCGCGGCUCCGGCCGCGUUCGACUGGUGACUCUGGAUAACCUGGCGGAUCGCACGGUCUAGCACCGGCGACGGAUCAUUCAAGUGUCUGCCCUAUCAACUUUCGUCGGUACGGUAUUCGCCUACCGAGGUUCUUACGGGUAACGGGGAAUCAGGGUUCGAUUCCGGAGAGGGAGCCUGAGAAACGGCUACCACAUCCAAGGAAGGCAGCAGGCGCGCAAAUUACCCAUUCCCGACGCGGGGAGGUAGUGACGAAAAAUAACAAUGCAGGACUCAUUCGAGGCCCUGUAAUUGGAAUGAGUACACUUUAAAAGCUUUAACGAGUAUCCAUUGGAGGGCAAGUCUGGUGCCAGCAGCCGCGGUAAUUCCAGCUCCAAAAGUAUAUAUUUAAGUUGUUGCGGUUGAAAAGCUCGUAGUUGGAUUUUGGGCGCGGGCGGUCGGUCCGUCGCGAGGCGUGUACUGGUCGACCCGGCCUUACGUCCGGUUCUCCGGCGGUGCUCUUGACUGAGUGUCGGCGGCGGCCGGAAAGUUUACUUUGAAAAAAUUAGAGUGUUCAAAGCAGGCUCUCGAGCCUGAAUAAUGGUGCAUGGAAUAAUGGAAUAGGACCUCGGUUCUAUUUUGUUGGUUUUCGGAGCGCUUGAAAAUGUCUGACACCGUAGGCAGUCGACACUUGGACGGGGCAAUGCAUAACUUGGAGAAAAUGUCGGAAUAUGUUCAAACGGGGAAAACUGAAGUGAUUGAAGUCGGAAUAGAACUACUCGAAAAUAAAAUUGAAAACUCUGGC
rnacentral:rRNA from 1 species